AGUGAACGCUGGCGGUAGGCCUAACACAUGCAAGUCGAACGGCAGCACAGGAGAGCUUGCUCUCUGGGUGGCGAGUGGCGGACGGGUGAGGAAUACAUCGGAAUCUACUCUGUCGUGGGGGAUAACGUAGGGAAACUUACGCUAAUACCGCAUACGACCUACGGGUGAAAGCAGGGGACCUUCGGGCCUUGCGCGAUUGAAUGAGCCGAUGUCGGAUUAGCUAGUUGGCGGGGUAAAGGCCCACCAAGGCGACGAUCCGUAGCUGGUCUGAGAGGAUGAUCGGCAACACUGGAACUGAGACACGGUCCAGACUCCUACGGGAGGCAGCAGUGGGGAAUAUUGGACAAUGGGCGCAAGCCUGAUCCAGCCAUACCGCGUGGGUGAAGAAGGCCUUCGGGUUGUAAAGCCCUUUUGUUGGGAAAGAAAUCCAGCUGGCUAAUACCCGGUUGGGAUGACGGUACCCAAAGAAUAAGCACCGGCUAACUUCGUGCCAGCAGCCGCGGUAA
rnacentral:rRNA from 1 species